UACGUAUGGGGCAAGCGUUAUCCGGAUUUACUGGGUGUAAAGGGUGCGUAGACGGGAAAAUAAGUUAGUUGUGAAAUCCCUCGGCUCAACUGAGGAACUGCAACUAAAACUGUAAUUCUUGAGUGCAGGAGAGGAAAGUGGAAUUCCUAGUGUAGCGGUGAAAUGCGUAGAUAUUAGGAGGAACAUCGGUGGCGAAGGCGGCUUACUGGGCUUUUACUGACGCUGAGGCUCGAAAGCGUGGGGAGCAAACAGG
rnacentral:rRNA from 1 species